ensembl:ncRNA AH10.7 ncRNA
CGGUUUCCCACAAAAUGGAGGCCUAUUAGUGUUCGUUUGAGGUCGAACCG